rnacentral:misc_RNA from 1 species
AUAGAAACAGCAAGAGUAAGAAAGCUACUAACGCGGAGCCAACUGCAAUUAAAACAAUCGCGACGGUGGAGAGUUUCUUGGACUUUUUGCGAACUGGGGUCGCCGGUGGGGCUUCUGAUGGGGAUGGAGCUGGAGAAGGGAAAAAUGGACUGCAAGGCGGCAAUGGGCCACCGCAUAGAUUUAAAUUUCCGGCGAAUGAGGAUGCGGGGAAUCUGGAUAAAACCGAAGGGAUUGAGCCAUUUAGAUUGUUGUUCGACACAUUGAAGUCCAUCAAACCUGACGGGUUAAUACUAGGUAAAGUGCCUGAGAACUGAU